rnacentral:lncRNA from 1 species
CUGAGCCCUAAUCUGCUGGGGUCAGAGCCCCCACCUCCUGCCUGCUGCUCCUGUGGCUGCUGCAGUUUUAUUUUCCUCCGCUCCCUUCCUAAGAAUUCCGCCCUGGCUUAUGAGCUUAAGGCUCCACCGCCCCAUCUGAUCAACACAAAAAAGGCCAGAGAGCAGGAGGGGAGAGUUGAGCGUGUCUGGGGCACAGUGACCCAGAGUGGCUGGAGGAGAAGGCCGGCUGGGAAGGGUGGAUCCCACCGGGGGAGGACCUGCCACCACCCACAGGCUCUGGGUCAUCCCAGGCGUCUCCACUGGGGCAGGAGCUCCAGGACCCCCUCUCCUACUGUCCCUUCUCCUGAGGCUGCUGAUGCUGACGCUGCAGGUCAAUGUUGUCAGGGGCUUCCAACAAGAAAACGAUGCUCCUACUAACCACACAAAGGUGGGGACUGGAAUUCAGUUUCUCAGGCGACCAGGUGAGAAUAUACUUUACUCAGAGGCUGGAUUGCAAUUUUGAAUUUUUUUGAGCCCUGUCAAUAUUUGGUUGGCACAAAAUACAUUAGUAGGGAGACAUGGCCUUUUAGAGUCUUGAAAGACUGCGGAGAAUUGCAGACGAUGUUUUAUGUGUACUCAGAACACGAAUCUGUGGACAUCGCCAAUCGAGCGUGCGGAGCUGGCCCACAGAUUUGCACACGAUUUUCUUCUUCAGGGAAUUCCAAACAGCGGACUUGUCAUUUCGGGUGUAUGAGCACAGGGCAGCCGAGGGGAGGCAGUCACACACCCACAGCCAUUGCAAGGUUUGGCAGCCCCCAGUGAGCCUUUCUUUCCUGUAAUUCUUGUGAUCAAUUCACUAAUUGAUUUUUUUUUUCUUUUUAGGGCCCCACAUGUGGCAUAUGGAAAUUCUCAGGCUAGGGGUUGAAUGGGAGCUGCAGCUCCCAGCCUAUUCCACAGCCACAGCCACACCAGAUCUGAGCCAUAUCUGUGACCUACACUACAGCCACAGCAAUGCUGGAUCCUUAACUCACUGAGCAAGGCCAGGGAUUGAACCUGCAUCCUCAUGGAUACGAGUUGGGUUCGUUACUGCUGAGCCACAACGGGAACUCCAUAAUGAAUGUUUUUAAAACACAUUUCCUGAAUAGAAACGAACAUGGCCAGAAACCAGCCAUACUUAUAAUAAAUAGGUGCUAACUGUAAAAUACA